GACAGAGGGGGCAAGCGUUGCUCGGAAUCACUGGGCGUAAAGGGCGCGUAGGCGGGAUGGCAAGUCAGUCGUGAAAUCUCUCGGCUCAACCGAGAAACGUCGGCUGAUACUGCCGUUCUUGAGGGAUGCAGAGGAGACUGGAAUUCCCGGUGUAGCGGUGAAAUGUGUAGAGAUCGGGAGGAACACCGGUGGCGAAGGCGGGUCUCUGGACAGUUCCUGACGCUGAGGCACGAAGGUCAGGGGAGCAAACGGG
rnacentral:rRNA from 1 species